rnacentral:rRNA from 1 species
UUGAACGCUGGCGGCAGGCCUAACACAUGCAAGUCGAGCGGAUGAAGGGAGCUUGCUCCUGGAUUCAGCGGCGGACGGGUGAGUAAUGCCUAGGAAUCUGCCUGGUAGUGGGGGAUAACGUCCGGAAACGGGCGCUAAUACCGCAUACGUCCUGAGGGAGAAAGUGGGGGAUCUUCGGACCUCACGCUAUCAGAUGAGCCUAGGUCGGAUUAGCUAGUUGGUGGGGUAAAGGCCUACCAAGGCGACGAUCCGUAACUGGUCUGAGAGGAUGAUCAGUCACACUGGAACUGAGACACGGUCCAGACUCCUACGGGAGGCAGCAGUGGGGAAUAUUGGACAAUGGGCGAAAGCCUGAUCCAGCCAUGCCGCGUGUGUGAAGAAGGUCUUCGGAUUGUAAAGCACUUUAAGUUGGGAGGAAGGGCAGUAAGUUAAUACCUUGCUGUUUUGACGUUACCAACAGAAUAAGCAUCGGCUAACUUCGUG